rnacentral:rRNA from 4 species
GGUGUAGCGGUGAAAUGCGUAGAGAUCUGGAGGAAUACCGGUGGCGAAGGCGGCCCCCUGGACAAAGACUGACGCUCAGGUGCGAAAGCGUGGGGAGCAAACAGGAUUAGAUACCCUGGUAGUCCACGCCGUAAACGAUGUCUACUUGGAGGUUGUGCCCUUGAGGCGUGGCUUCCGGAGCUAACGCGUUAAGUAGACCGCCUGGGGAGUACGGCCGCAAGGUUAAAACUCAAAUGAAUUGACGGGGGCCCGCACAAGCGGUGGAGCAUGUGGUUUAAUUCGAUGCAACGCGAAGAACC